GACGAACGCUGGCGGCGUGCCUAAUACAUGCAAGUUGAGCGCUGAAGGUUGGUACUUGUACCAACUGGAUGAGCAGCGAACGGGUGAGUAACGCGUGGGUAAUCUGCCUUUGAGCGGGGGACAACAUUUGGAAACGAAUGCUAAUACCGCAUAAAAACUUUAAACACAAGUUUUAAGUUUGAAAGAUGCAAUUGCAUCACUCAAAGAUGAUCCCGCGUUGUAUUAGCUAGUUGGUGAGGUAAAGGCUCACCAAGGCGAUGAUACAUAGCCGACCUGAGAGGGUGAUCGGCCACAUUGGGACUGAGACACGGCCCAAACGCCUACGGGAGGCAGCAGUAGGGAAACUUCGGCAAUGGACGAAAGUCUGACCGAGCAACGCCGCGUGAGUGAAGAAGGUUUUCGGAUCGUAAAACUCUGUUGGUAGAGAAGAACGUUGGUGAGAGUGGAAAGCUCAUCAAGUGACGGUAACUACCCAGAAAGGGACGGCUAACUACGUG
rnacentral:rRNA from 1 species